UGUAACUAGUAGGCCGGAAUUCUAUGAUCAGUUUCUAUAUAUUGACUGUUGGAAACUGAUUGUUGAAAAACUGCCAUGGUGAAUUAAACUGUGUCAUAUGAGAAACAAUGGAGCCAUAUGGUGGUCAGAACUAAGGACUUAUUUACAACUGCUUUGGACAUCCCCUCCCCCCUUGCAUCUGAUUACCAACCCCCUAUUCAUCCUCCAGAGCCAGAGUAGCCCUUCCCCCACUCUUCUUCUGAAAUUAAAACUGGUAUAGCUGGUAUUUGCAUUCCCCCUGCUCUACUGUCCCCGCCUACCCACAUACCUAUCUGUUCUUUUGUUUCAAACUCUUGUAUUUCUGUACUACCUCCCCUCCCC